rnacentral:rRNA from 1 species
ACGGGUGAGUAAUACAUCGGAACGUAUCCUGGAGUGGGGGAUAGCCCGGCGAAAGCCGGAUUAAUACCGCAUACGCUCUGAGGAGGAAAGCGGGGGACCUUCGGGCCUCGCGCUCAAGGGGCGGCCGAUGGCGGAUUAGGUAGUUGGUGGGGUAAAGGCCUACCAAGCCGACGAUCCGUAGCUGGUCUGAGAGGACGACCAGCCACGCUGGGACUGAGACACGGCCCAGACUCCUACGGGAGGCAGCAGUGGGGAAUUUUGGACAAUGGGGGCAACCCUGAUCCAGCAAUGCCGCGUGUGUGAAGAAGGCCUUCGGGUUGUAAAGCACUUUUGUCCGGAAAGAAAUCAUCGGGGCCAAUACCCCUGGUGGAUGACGGUACCGGAAGAAUAAGCACCGGCUAACUACGUGCCAGCAGCCGCGGUAAUACGUAGGGUGCGAGCGUUAAUCGGAAUUACUGGGCGUAAAGCGUGCGCAGGCGGUGCUGUAAGACCGAUGUGAAAUCCCCGGGCUUAACCUGGGAACUGCAUUGGUGACUGCAGCGCUGGAGUAUGGCAGAGGGGGGUGGAAUUCCACGU